GACGAACGCUGGCGGCGUGCUUAACACAUGCAAGUCGAGCGGUAAGGCCCUUUCGGGGGUACACGAGCGGCGAACGGGUGAGUAACACGUGGGUGACCUGCCCUCAGCUCUGGGAUAAGCCUGGGAAACCGGGGUCUAAUACUGGAUAUGACUCCAUGACGCAUGUUGUGGGGUGGAAAGCCUUGUGCGGCUGAGGAUGGGCCCGCGGCCUAUCAGCUUGUUGGUGGGGGAUGGCCUACCAAGGCGACGACGGGUAGCCGGCCUGAGAGGGCGACCGGCCACACUGGGACUGAGACACGGCCCAGACUCCUACGGGAGGCAGCAGUGGGGAAUCUUGCGCAAUGGGCGAAAGCCUGACGCAGCGACGCCGCGUGA
rnacentral:rRNA from 1 species